GCAAGGCUAAAACUCAAAGAAAUUGACGGGGGGCCCGCACAAGCGGAAGGAGCAUGUGGCUUAAUUUCGAUGCAACGCGAAGAACCUUACCCAGACUUGACAUAUAACUGCACGUCCUAUGAAAGUAGGAUUUCUUCGAGAGUGUUAUACAGGUGCUGCAUGGCUGUCGUCAGUUCGUGCCGUGAGGUGUUUGGUUAAGUCCAGCAACGAACGCAACCCUUGUGACUAGUUGCCACCGAAGGUUAAUAGCCUUCGAGCACUCUAGUCAGACUGCCCUUGCAAGAGGGAGGAAGGUGGGGAUGACGUCAAGUCAGUAUGGCCCUUACGUCUGGGGCUGCACACGUGCUACAAUGGCCGGUACAGAAGGUUGCAAUACCGCGAGGUGGAGCUAAUCCCUAAAACCGGCCCCAGUUCGGAUUGGAGUCUGCAACUCGACUCCAUGAAGUUGGAUUCGCUAGUAACGGCGUAUCAGCUACGACGCCGUGAAUACGUUCCCGGGCCUUGUACACACCGCCCGUCACAUCAUGAAAGCCGUCUGCACCCGAAGUCGUUGAUCUAACCCGCAAGGGAGGAAGACGCCGAAGGUGUGGGUGGUAAUUGGGAUGAAGUCGUAACAAGGUA
rnacentral:rRNA from 1 species